rnacentral:lncRNA from 1 species
ACUGAUUGAAAUUUUUUCCAUGUUUCUGCAUCCGAUGGGUGCGGAUUUACGCAGUCUAAUGUAUGUUCUGCAUGCCAUCUCAAUGAUCCUGUUGUACGCUCUGACUGAUACAAUCUUUUCAACCUCUAUGCCAACGGUAGAUACCACAUUCUCUUAUAUGGUAUAUGAACUUUUCCACUUUUGUCUUGAUACCAAGGUUUACGAUAAACCCGACAUGUAGUGCGACCUGCAUCUUCUCUCCAAUAAAUGAUACAAUUAUCACUACACACAUCUAUUACUUGAUAUGGCAACCCAAGUCCAGCUACAAGUUUCUGCACAUCAUAGUACAGAGCUGAUGAAAGAUCAUUCUUCGGCAAAAUUUCUUUCAUAAAAUCUGUAAUUGCAUCUACACAACCCUUUGAUAAAUUUCAAGCCGUGUUUAUUCCCAACAACCUAGUUGCGGCUGAUAUCGGUGAAUGACCAUUCUUACAACCAUCGUAAAGUGACAUAUUUUCCGCAUCUUAUAUAUCAAAGAAUCUCUAGGCUUCUGAAUUCUGUUGCUCUAUUAUAUCUCCAUCCCAACUUAAUGAGGGGGCAUUUUCCCUAAAUGCAUCGUUCUCCAUCUGAAAUGUACCUUAUUCUACUUCCGUUGAUGGUUCCUCUACACUAUCCAAAAUAUAAUGGUGACUAGUACUACCAUAAUCUACCAUUGAUUCACUUUCUCCAUGCGAAAGCCAUAUCAUAUAAUCCAGCAGAAAUCCAUUCUUAAACAAGUGCUUCCUUACUAAUGGUACCUCAAGAUUUUUUUUAAUUCUGACAAUUUGGACAAUGACAUGACAUAGUACAUGUUUCUUAUUGAUAUGCUCUGGUUUGAUGCAAAUAAUGAGAAUUGCCUAAGACCUUCUUUGAACUCUUCUGAGAGUUUGCCCCUCUCUUUAUUGUAUCUAAGUUUAUCCAUCCAUCAACAAAAAUAACCAUAAGGAUCUGAAUAAGACAUUUU